GACGAACGCUGGAGGCGUGCUUAACACAUGCAAGUCGAACGAUGAAAUGGAGCUUGCUCCAUGGAUUAGUGGCGGACGGGUGAGUAACACGUGAAUAACCUGCCCUUAAUUUUGGAAUAACCCAGGGAAACCUGGGCUAAUACCGGAUAAGUAAACCUGUGGCAUCACAUGGUUUUGGAAAGUUUUUCGAUUAAGGAUGGAUUCGCGGCCUAUCAGCUUGUUGGUGAGGUAAUGGCUCACCAAGGCGACGACGGGUAGCCGGCCUGAGAGGGUGAACGGCCACACGGGGACUGAGACACGGCCCAGACUCCUACGGGAGGCAGCAGUGGGGAAUAUUGCGCAAUGGACGAAAGUCUGACGCAGCGACGCCUCGUGAGGGACGAAGGUCUUCGGAUUGUAAACCUCUUUCAGCAGGGACGAAGCGAAAGUGACGGUACCUGCAGAAGAAGCACCGGCUAACUAUGUGCCAGCAGCCGCGGUAA
rnacentral:rRNA from 1 species